rnacentral:tRNA from 1 species
GGGCGCGUAGCUCAGUUGGGAGAGCAUCUGGUUUGCAACCAGGGGGUCGGGGGUUCGAAUCCCCCCGCGUCCA